CAAUAGCGUAUAUUUAAGUUGUUGCAGUUAAAAAGCUCGUAGUUGAAUUUCUGGUGGGCGCGCCGGUCUUCCAAGUGUUGUACUGGGCGCAGUCCGCCAUCCUUGUGGAGAGGGCUCGCAUUGAGUUGCGUGUCGGAUCUGCAUCAUUUACUGUGAAAAAAUUAGAGUGUUUAAAGCAGGCUGUCGCUUGAAUACAUUAGCAUGGAAUAAUAAGAUAGGACUUCGGUCUAUUUUGUUGGUUGCGAACCGAGGUAAUGAUUAAUAGGGAUAGUUGGGGGUAUUCAUAUUUAAUUGUCAGAGGUGAAAUUCUUGGAUUUAUGAAAGAUGAACAACUGCGAAANCANNNACCAAGGAUGUUUUCAUNAA
rnacentral:rRNA from 1 species